AAAACGACUCUCGGCAACGGAUAUCUCGGCUCUCGCAUCGAUAAAGAACGUAGCGAAAUGCGAUACUUGGUGUGAAUUGCARAAUCCCGUGAACCAUCGAGUCUUUGAACGCAAGUUGCGCCCGAAGCCAUUAGGCCGAGGGCACGUCUGCCUGGGCGUCACGC
rnacentral:rRNA from 1 species